rnacentral:rRNA from 1 species
GAUGAACGCUGGCGGCGUGCCUAAUACAUGCAAGUCGAGCGAACAGAUGAGGAGCUUGCUCCUCUGACGUUAGCGGCGGACGGGUGAGUAACACGUGGAUAACCUACCUAUAAGACUGGGAUAACUUCGGGAAACCGGAGCUAAUACCGGAUAAUAUCUUGAACCGCAUGGUUCAAUAGUGAAAGACGGUUUUGCUGUCACUUAUAGAUGGAUCCGCGCCGCAUUAGCUAGUUGGUAAGGUAACGGCUUACCAAGGCAACGAUGCGUAGCCGACCUGAGAGGGUGAUCGGCCACACUGGAACGGAGACACGGUCAAGACUCCUAAGGGAGGCAGCAGUAGGGAAUCUUCCGCAAUGGGCGAAAGCCUGACGGAGCAACGCCGCGUGAGUGAUGAAGGUCUUCGGAUCGUAAAACUCUGUUAUUAGGGAAGAACAAAUGUGUAAGUAACUAUGCACGUCUUGACGGUACCUAAUCAGAAAGCCACGGCUAACUACGUG